rnacentral:tRNA from 1 species
CCCUAUAUAGCUCAGGUAGUAGAGCAUUCUAGAUAUUAUGGGAAGGUCCUAGGUUCAAAUGCUAGUGUGGUCA